CAGUGUUACAACUCUUUUAGAAUUUGUCUAGCAGGUUUUCUGGUCUUAACUGAAAAGCCCUA
ensembl:snRNA U7 U7 small nuclear RNA